GAUGAACGCUGGCGGCGUGCCUAAUACAUGCAAGUCGAGCGAACGGACGAGAAGCUUGCUUCUCUGAUGUUAGCGGCGGACGGGUGAGUAACACGUGGAUAACCUACCUAUAAGACUGGGAUAACUUCGGGAAACCGGAGCUAAUACCGGAUGAUAUUUUGAACCGCAUGGUUCAAAAGUGAAAGACGGUCUUGCUGUCACUUAUAGAUGGAUCCGCGCUGCAUUAGCUAGUUGGUAAGGUAACGGCUUACCAAGGCAACGAUGCAUAGCCGACCUGAGAGGGUGAUCGGCCACACUGGAGCUGAGACACGGUCCAGACUCCUACGGGAGGCAGCAGUAGGGAAUCUUCCGCAAUGGGCGAAAGCCUGCCGGAGCAACGCCGCGUGAGUGAUGAAGGUCUUCGGGUCGUAAAACGCUGUUAUUAGGGAAGAACAUAUGUGUAAGUAACUGUGCACAUCUUGACGGUACCUAAUCAGAAGCCACGGCUAACUACGUG
rnacentral:rRNA from 1 species